rnacentral:rRNA from 1 species
CCCUUAGAUGUUCUGGGCCGCACGCGCGCUACACUGAUGCAUUCAACGAGUUUCUUCCUGGUCCGAGAGGAAUGGGUAACCUUUUGAAAGUGCAUCGUGAUAGGGAUAGACUAUUGCAAUUAUUGGUCUUCAACGAGGAAUUCCUAGUAGACGUAGUUCAUCAGACUGCAUCGAUUACGUCCCUGCCCUUUGUACACACCGCCCGUCGCUGCUACCGAUUGAAUGUUACGGCGAAUACUCCGGAAUCGUGGCCUUUAUUGGGUGACCUUUAUUGGCCAAUGGUGAAGUUGUGUAAGCCUUAACAUUUAGAGGAAGCAAAAGUCGUAACA